rnacentral:rRNA from 1 species
AUGGCGGGGGUUGUGACGACGACUCUGCCUUUGCGGCUCGUGGUGGCCGUGCUUCUUGCGUUUUUGGCCACCACGGCGUCGGCGUCCGCGCCGGCCAAGUCAAACAUGAGCAGCAGCAGCUCCUGCCGGCGUCUGUUCAGCUUCGGCGACUCGCUGAUCGACACCGGCAACUUCAUACACUACUCCAAGGCGCCGGGCUCCGUGUCGCGGUCGCCCUACGGCGAGACCUUCUUCGGCCGCCCCACCGGCCGCUGGUCCGACGGCCGCCUCAUCGUCGACUUCAUCGUGGAGAGGCUGGGGUUCCCGUACUGGCCGGCGUACCUGCAGGCGAAGUCGCGGGCGACGAAGGGCGACUUCCGCUACGGCGCCAACUUCGCAGUGGCGAGCGGCACGGCGCUCAACCAGCUCCUCUUCAGGAAGAAGCACCUCAACGUGGACCAGAUCACCCCCUACUCCUUGGGCAUCCAGAUCGGGUGGUUCAAGAAAGUGCUGGCGGCGAUCGCCUCCACCGACGAGCAGCGGCGGGAGAUCAUGGAGAGCUCGCUGUUCCUGGUGGGGGAGAUCGGCGCCAACGACUACAACCACCCCUUCUUCCAGAACAGGACGCUCGGGUUCGUCCGGCCGCUGGUGCCCCGGGUGAUCCGCUCCAUCGCGCUCUCCGUGGAGGCCCUCAUCAAGCUGGGAGCCAGGAACAUCUACGUGCCGGGCAUCUUCCCGAUGGGCUGCGUCCCGCGGUACCUCUACUUCUACCGCGGCGGCGAGCCCGGCGACUACGACUCCGCCGGCUGCCUCCGGUGGCUCAACGGCCUCACCGCCGACAACAACCGCAUGCUCAAGGGCAGGCUCCGCGAGCUCGGCCGCGCCCACCCCGGCGUGUCCAUCACCUACGUGGACUACUACAACGAGGUGCUCAGCCUCAUCACCAACCCGGCGGUGAACGGGGUCGGGGACGGGCUGCACGCGUGCUGCGGCGGCGGUGGGCCGUACAACGCCAACCUCACCCUCCACUGCUCGGACCCGUGGGUGGUGCCGUGCCCGGACCCGGCCAAGUACGUGUCGUGGGACGGCCUGCACAUGACGGAGGCGAUGUACAAGAUCAUGGCCCGCGGGAUGCUCGACGGCCCCUUUGCCAAGCCGUCCAUCAUGUCCAAAUACAACCACAGCUAG